rnacentral:piRNA from 1 species
UGUGCAACAACUCUCAUUCCACCUCAUGU